GCUUACCUGAGUACUACGAACAAUCAAGGUUUAAAACUCAAAGGGCUUGGCGGUGCUUUAAACUUUUUAGGGGAACCUGUCUCAUAAUCGAUAGUCCACGCUAGACCUUCCCUUUUUUUGUUAAUUCAGUAUGUAUACCGUCGUCGUCAGGUAACUUUUAAUAAAGAUAAAAGUUAGCGCUUAUAGAUUGUGUAAUCUUAGACGUCAGAUCAAGGUGCAGCUUAUAAAAUGGAGAGGAUGGGUUACAAUUAUGAUUUAUAAUUACGGAUAUAAAUUUGAAAUAAUUUAAUGAAGGAGGACUUAAUAGUAAGAGAUUUAUACAAAAUCUUUGAAUAAAGCUCUGAGGCGUGCACACAUCGCCCGUCACCCUCGA
rnacentral:rRNA from 1 species